AGAAAAAAAUUCUUAGUAAUCUAACUAGAAGCGAACCUUUAUGUUUUAUAAGAUGAACUAAAGCAGAACUGGAAUAUGAACACAUUGAUUCAGUUGAAGUCCCUGGAGAAGAAACAGCAGCACCUCGUGUGCCUGUGAUACUUGGCUGCUGCCCACCUGCUGUCCUGAUGGGAUGUGCCCUGUGACUCCUCCUCCAUCCCUCUAUACCCCCAUCCCCGUCCUGGGAACCGAUCAACAGCUGGAGCCAUCCUGGGGGACCAGAAGGCUCAGUUUCAUGGAUGAGAGGAAACCAAUAGAAUACAGUCCUCUUUAGGCAAAGGAGAAACAGCUGUGCCCCCUUUUGGAGCCCCAGUGAGUGUCCAGCAUUUGUCUGCAGCUUCCAGAACGUUGGAAUGUUCCUUGAAUGGUACAUUUGUUCCAGUUGAGAGUUCGAGGGAUGGGCAGGGGUGGGGCUGGGAACUGAAGAGGGGUGAAGGGAGGUGGGUGUUGUUCAGAGCCCCACACCUGCUAUUGCUAAAUUCCAGGCAGCAGGGCUGGCUGUUUCACCCUGACUGAGCUGAAUUAGAAACAUAAACUACAAAGGAGAGAAUUCUCAGCCAAAGGGGCCUUUUGAAGGCAUGACCAUCGACUUUAGCAACCUGGACCCUUGGCACUGGGGGACUCUUAUUUUAUCCAUAGAGUUAUCUAUUUUUUUCUUCUGUGGGUUAAGUGAAUUCAAACCAGCAGCUGCUCUUUUCCUGGGAUGUUCAGAGACAAUGGCGAGUGUGAAUUUUACCACAAGCUAAAUCUCCUGAGAAGGAUCAGCAUUAAUAGUUCAAGAGGCAGUGAUCCUGUUACAUGAAGUGCUAGAGAACUUUGCAGACAAGCCCAUCCAACGUACGGUAAAGGAGUCCUGGACACCAAGCCAAA